AUUUAAAUAGUUUAAUUAAAAUAGUAAUUUGUGGAAUUACAGAUAUAUAUAUGUAUUUUAAAUA
rnacentral:tRNA from 1 species